UAUUGAAACAGUAGUUCUCAUACAAUCAUCAAAGUUAAGCAAUGUUGAGCCCAGGUAGUACUUAGAUGGGUGACUGCUUGGGAAUACCAGGUACUGUAAG